rnacentral:rRNA from 1 species
UACGGGGGGGGCAAGCGUUGUUCGGAAUUACUGGGCGUAAAGGGCUCGUAGGCGGCCAACUAAGUCGGAUGUGAAAUCCCCAAGCUUAACUUGGGAACUGCAUCCGAUACUGGAUGGCUUGGAUUCGGGAGAGGAAUGCGGAAUUCCAGGUGUAGCGGUGAAAUGCGCAGAUAUCGGGAGGAACACCUAUGGCGAAGGCAGCUCGCUGGGACGUUACUGACGCUGAGACGCGAAAGCGUGGGGAGCAAACAGG